rnacentral:rRNA from 1 species
GGGCAGGGCGGCAUGCUUACCAUGCAGUCGAACGGCAGCACGGGUGCUUGCACCUGGUGGCGAGUGGCGAACGGGUGAGUAAUACAUCGGAACAUGUCCUGUAGUGGGGGAUAGCCCGGCGAAAGCCGGAUUAAUACCGCAUACGAUCUACGGAUGAAAGCGGGGGACCUUCGGGCCUCGCGCUAUAGGGUUGGCCGAUGGCUGAUUAGCUAGUUGGUGGGGUAAAGGCCCACCAAGGCGACGAUCAGUAGCUGGUCUGAGAGGACGACCAGCCACACUGGGACUGAGACACGGCCCAGACUCCUACGGGAGGCAGCAGUGGGGAAUUUUGGACAAUGGGCGAAAGCCUGAUCCAGCAAUGCCGCGUGUGUGAAGAAGGCCUUCGGGUUGUAAAGCACUU